rnacentral:rRNA from 1 species
GUGGGGAAUCUUGCGCAAUGGGCGAAAGCCUGACGCAGCCAUGCCGCGUGAAUGAUGAAGGUCUUAGGAUUGUAAAAUUCUUUCACCGGGGACGAUAAUGACGGUACCCGGAGAAGAAGCCCCGGCUAACUUCGUGCCAGCAGCCGCGGUAAUACGAAGGGGGCUAGCGUUGCUCGGAAUUACUGGGCGUAAAGGGCGCGUAGGCGGACAGUUUAGUCAGAGGUGGAAGCCCAGGGCUCAACCUUGGAAUUGCCUUUGAUACUGGCUGUCUUGAGUACGGGAGAGGUGAGUGGAACUCCGAGUGUAGAGGUGAAAUUCGUAGAUAUUCGGAAGAACACCAGUGGCGAAGGCGACUCACUGGCCCGUUACUGACGCUGAGGCGCGAAAGCGUGGGGAGCAAACAGGAUUGGAAACCCCUGUAGUCC